UGAGGGGGAGUAUUGGAAAGUCAAAGAAUAUUUAUAUUAAUAAGCAAUAUACUGCUUCCUUAUUUAGGAGAUUAGUAGGAGUUUGAUUGUAGGAUUAGAUCAAUUAUAGGAGCUAAAAUCCCUCUAUCAUUUAUGUUAUAUGUUGUAUAUAACCAACCUCAAUAUACAAUGGAAAUCACCAAUUCCAGAAUAUAUGUGUACUUCUUUUCAAAACUGCCCCAAACUAAAAGGAAAAUUACCAAUCUCUCUCUCGUCACUGGAAAAACUUGUCAUUCUUAAAUUUGAUCAGUUAGUGGUUCAAUUCCAAGCCUUCCAAUGCUUUGCAAACUUCAAAUUAAAGGAUGCGAAGAGCUGGUGCAUGGAGGUGUGGUCACUUUCAGCUCACCAAACUCCAUGGUAGUUUCGACCAUUGCAGAGCUCGCAUACCUUACAGAAGAGUUCAUGGAAGCGUUAAACAAUGUGGAGGAAUUGAAGAUCUUGUACUGCAAUGGGCUUAAAUCAUUGUGGCAGAGUGACAUAGGACUAUAUAAAUGACUCGGUUCUCUUCAUAAUUUGGUCAUCGAGGGCUGUCCCAAACUGGUUUCUUUGGUGGAAGAGGAAGAUGCAGAGCAACUGAAUCCGGGAUGGGGCUCUGAAUUUAAAUACCUGGAAGUAAGACAUUGCGAAAGCCUAGAAAUCCUGCCGCAAUGCUUGCAUAGCUUCGAUUUUCUUAGAGAGCUACUGAUGAAGCCUGCCCUAGACUCGUUUUCUUUCCAGAGGAUGCUCUGCCUCCCAUGCUUAAGAGUGAUUCGUAUUAAAAAUUGCAGUGCUCUAGCUCCCUUGCCUGCUGUCUUGACUUGCAAUUGCAAAAGCCUUGAGAACUUGUGCAUUGAAGGAUGUGAUUCUUUGAUAUCCUUUGCAAGAAGCCAGCUUCCACCAACUCUGAAAAGGUUAGAGAUAAGAAGUUGCAAGAAUUUGCAGUACUUGUUGAGCGAUGGAGAGAGUUCAUCUUCUUCCUCGUUGUCAAUAAUGUAUGAGAAGAAUAUCAAUACAUCCAAUCUAGAAUAUUUAGACAUUUAUGAUUGCCCAUCACUCAUGUCCUUAUCAUCUAGAGGUAAAUUACCUGCUGCACUAGUGCAUCUCCAGAUCAAAAACUGUUCAGAGCUCACUUCCUUCUGCGCAGAAGGCAAGUUACCAGCAGGGCUUAAACCUUACCAUUGAGGACUGUCCAAAGCUGCAGACAGUGGCAGAGAGGUUUCAAGAUGAGAUGUCUCUUGAAACUAUUUAUAUCUUCAGUUGUGGAAGUCUUAAUUCCUUGCAGAUGACCCACACAAGCUAAGCAAUCUUCAUGAGAUCUCAAUAUAGUAUUGCCCAGGUCUCGUUUCCUUUCUAGGAAGGUUGCCCACUACCAAUCUAAGAGAACUCUGCAUUUCUUGGUGUGAACAACUGGAGGCCCUGCCCGAUCAUCUUCACAAUCUGACAUCUCUUCAAGAAUUGUGGAUAUAUGAUUGUCCAGGCAUUGUUUCGUUUCCAGAAGAGGGCUUCCCCACUAAGCUAACAUCAGUAACCAUCACAAAUCUCAACAUAUGUAAGCCAUUAUUUGAGUGGGGACUCCAGAGACUCAAUUCUUUGAGAGACCUCUACAUUGAAGGUGGAUGUUCCAUGUUCUUUCCUUCCCACAGGACGAGACAAGAAUGGUGCUGCCUGCCUCCUUAACAAGCUUAUCCAUUAUAAAGUUUCCAAAUCUAAGAUACCUAUCUCCGAGGGGCUUUCAGAACCUAUUAAGAUACCUAUCUCCGAGGGGCUUUCAGAACCUCAGUUCUCUUGAAUGUUUGAGUAUCUCAUAUUGCCAUAAGCUCACAUCCUUUCCCAAGAAAGGCCUGCCAUCCUCACUUUUGCAACUAUAUAUCUAUGGUUGUCCUCUGCUGAAGCAAAACUGCAAGAAGAAUAUAAGGACGUGAGUGGUUCAAGAUAGCUAAUGUCCCUUGUGUAAGAAUAGAUGGCAAAUUCAUCCAUGACCAGUAGGCAUAUGAGCAACUCACAGAGAAGAUGUACUAUCAAGCUACAGAGAUUGGGAGCACAGAGGAUGAAUGUUGACAAUGACUGGCAGGCAGCAUCAGCAAGCCCAAGUUCCUAUACUGUGAAGGAAAUCUUGCGUUCUGUUGAUAGCUAUCGAAAUGUAAGCCAUGUGUAUUAUAUUGGCAUGCUUGUCUUUACAUGUAUCUUAUAGAUAUUUAGUUUUGCAUAAUAUGCAAAUUGAUAAGUAACGGAAUUUUUUAUUUCUAUGUGGAGUUUAGUUCAAUUUUGGCA